rnacentral:rRNA from 1 species
AGAGUUUGAUUCUGGCUCAGAACGAACGCUGGCGGCAGGCCUAACACAUGCAAGUCGAACGCCCUAGCAAUAGGGAGUGGCAGACGGGUGAGUAACACGUGGGAACCUUCCCAAUAGUACGGAAUAGCCCAGGGAAACUUGGAGUAAUACCGUAUACGCCCGAAAGGGGAAAGAUUUAUCGCUAUUGGAUGGGCCCGCGUUGGAUUAGCUAGUUGGUGAGGUAACGGCUCACCAAGGCGACGAUCCAUAGCUGGUCUGAGAGGACGACCAGCCACACUGGGACUGAGACACGGCCCAGACUCCUACGGGAGGCAGCAGUGGGGAAUAUUGGACAAUGGGCGCAAGCCUGAUCCAGCCAUGCCGCGUGAGUGAUGAAGGCCUUAGGGUUGUAAAGCUCUUUUGUCGGGGACGAUAAUGACGGUACCCGAAGAAUAAGUCCCGGCUAACUUCGUGCCAGCAGCCGCGGUAAU